CAAACCUCCUAUGAAAUACUUUGGCCAAAAAAUUAAACUUGAAUCAGAUCAAGCCUAUUAUCAGUUUAUUUUUAUUUAUUUAUUUUUAUUGUGCUAUCAGUUUAUAGAAAACACACAGGGCAGAGAAACAUGUAAAAGAGCACCCUGAUUAAUCAGUGAAGUCCAGAUUGUGGGAAACUCUACAGGACAAAAUCCAGUUUCCCUAAGAAAUAAAUUGAAAGAGAUAAAAGAGAAAUGCCAGAAGACUGAAGAAAGUGACUUAAGUGACAUGCCAAUUAACUUUAAGCUGUAGAACUUAUUUGGAUCCUUAUUUAAAUAAAUGGAAAGCCCCCAAAUUUCCAUCAAGUAGGAAAAUUCAUUCACUUGAUAUUUGACAUUAUUUGUGAUUUGAAGAGAUAUAAUAAAGAUGUCACUCUGUUCGAAGAAUCUCCAUCUUUAGAAAUUGGUACUGAAAUGUUUACGAUUCUGAGAUGUGCUUCAAAAUAACGGGGGUGGUGAGCGCAGCCGUGGAAGCGUGGCGGGGUGCAGGUUGGAAAUGAGAUCGGUAAUUCCUCAGGCCGUCCACAGGUACAUGACGGUUCAUUUAGAGACCAGUGAGAGCGAAAGGCUGCUGCCAUCUCCUCGGAGGGACAUGACGGUAGCGCUGUAACUGGGAACAAGGCAUUUACUUCAAGAAAUCCCGUCGACAAGUUCCUCGGGCCCCUGAAGCAGGGCUCCUGAGGCAGCUCGGCCAGUGUGUGGGUGCGCACCCACACAUUCCGCUGCCGAUCUCCCCAUUGGGGUGGGAAGAUCUUACAAACUGCGUGUCUCUCCCACUUAAAUUAGUAGUCAGCCUGAAAUAAACCCGGCCGCCCUCACCACAACACUGCCACCGAGACCGAUAAAGCCUGCCUCAGCAUUCGCCACGCCUCCUAGUACCCCGGCAGAGUGCGUGCGCGCUCUCGGGGACAGCCGUCUCCAGCCGAGCGCGUGCGGAGCAGGGCCACGGCGCCUGCGUGGAGCGGCGCCUGCGCAGCGGAGGCUGUGGACCCCAUUUCCCAGGAACACUGCGUUCCUGGCCCCGCCCAGUGUCCCAGAGUCCUUUUCGAGCCGGAAGCUGGGCUCCUCCCGACGUCUCUUUCUGGGUCGGGGAGCUGUACUUUUUGAAACCUGAGGGAGUCGUAGUUCAGGGAGGGGCAGCUCUUGCACCUAGGGCCGUUAGGAACGAGUUUUAGAGAUGUGGUCUUGCUAUGUUGCCCAGGCUGAGCGCAGUGACUAUUCAUAGGCCGGAUCUAGUGCACUGCAGUCUUGAACUCCUGGCUUACAGUCCUACUGGUUUCUGAGAAGCAGGAGAAGAAAUGGCCACCAUGCUCUGCAGCUAGGUCUCAGCUCUCCACCCCUUAAAACCACUCCACGUGUGUCUGUGUCAUUUCAUCUAAACCGGCAUGAGGACCAAGAACCCUGGUGUUCCUCCACUCAUCGGAGCCGUAUCAUUUUGGUGCAUUGGCCGGGAAAGGAAAUUCAAUCAUGAGACUGACGGAGUCUCGCUCUGUAGCCCGGGCUGGAGUGCAGUGGCCAGAUC